rnacentral:rRNA from 1 species
UUGACGGGGGCCCGCACAAGCGGUGGAUGAUGUGGUUUAAUUCGAUGCAACGCGAAAACCUUACCUACCUUUGACAUGUACGGAAUUCGCCAGAGAUGGCUUAGUGCUCGAAAGAGAACCGUAACACAGGUGCUGCAUGGCUGUCGUCAGCUCGUGUCGUGAGAUGUUGGGUUAAGUCCCGCAACGAGCGCAACCCUUGUCAUUAGUUGCUACAUUCAGUUGGGCACUCUAAUGAGACUGCCGGUGACAAACCGGAGGAAGGUGGGGAUGACGUCAAGUCCUCAUGGCCCUUAUAGGUAGGGCUACACACGUCAUACAAUGGAUGGUACAAAGGGUCGCCAACCCGCGAGGGGGAGCCAAUCCCAUAAAACCAUUCGUAGUCCGGAUCGCAGUCUGCAACUCGACUGCGUGAAGUCGGAAUCGCUAGUAAUCGUGGAUCAGAAUGUCACGGUGAAUACGUUCCCGGGUCUU